GGAGCCAUAGCUCAGUGGUAGAGCACCUGCCUUGGAUACAGGAGGCCCCAGGUUCCAUCCUUGGCAUCUUCA